GCCCCGUGAAGCUGGGGUGAUCUCAUCAACUGUCCUGAGAGGGAAACUGAGGCACAGAGCAGCAAGGGCCGAAGGGUGAGUCAGGGCUGCGCUGGCUUCUGCCAGUUUCAUCACCCAGAACUGCGGCCCAACCAGGAGAGGUGACAGUGCCCAGGGUCACCAGGCAGGCAGGCUUUGCAGGCUCCAGGGUGGCCGCAGAGCCCCUUUACCAAGACCCCUCCAGCCCCACGUGGAGGGGAGCCUGAGGCCUGGAAGGAGAAGGACCACUUGCCCAAACUGUUCAUAGGCAAGGCAGGGGGCCUGGGUUCUGGCUAGUCUUUGUGUUUCCUACUCUGUGACCUUUGCGCCUCUCCCAGCCUGUGUCUUGGUCUACAACACGGGGACAGCCAUCACCCACCAGGUCCCUGGGCAGAAGUGAGGAGGUGUCAGCUGCCCCCUGCAGUGCUUGGUCUUCAUGCAUUGAGCACCUGAGUUGUAUAUAGCUGCACAGAUGGGUAAACUGAGACCCUGAGCGGGAAUAACAACCAUAUUGGGUCAGAG
rnacentral:lncRNA from 10 species